rnacentral:rRNA from 6 species
GGCUCGUUGGUCGAUGAAGGACGCAGGAAACUGCGAGUCUUUAUGUGAAUUGCAGGACAGAUGAACAUCCGACACUUUGAACACACAUUAUGGCUCCGAGGUUCUAUCCAAGGGCCACGCCUAUCUAAAGGUCG